UUUGCUAUUCAGAGGUUUUCCAGUGAAGACCGGCCGAGCAUCAUCGAGCGCCGCGUGCGCCGGCUAUUGGAGAUUCUCUGCAAUCAUGAGCGCCGGCAGGAUUCUUUUGUCCACCAAGAAGCAGAAAUAUGCGGUGGUGACGUCGAACAACAAGACUCUACUGUCCCGCGAUGAUCUCCGCUGUAUCGACCGCUUUGUGGACAAGCGAGUUGUCACGGCGACCUACGCUAAUGGCACGCAGCCGCCACCUUCGCACGGGAUUCCGGCCCUGCCCUUUGAGAAGGUGAGCGAGAACUGCGACAGCGUUUUGCUGCUGUCAGUGAGUGCAAUCCACGAGCGCGAGAGCGCGUUGGAUGUGCCGCUGCGGUUCAUGGCUCCGGAGGAGUAUCAUGCCCCGGCCCUGGAGGAACCGCCGACGCGACUGCCACUUGCACGGCGCAUUGUGGCCCUCCUGCAAGGGGCUACGAGUUCGAUGGUCUCGUGGCGGUACACACCGCCGGUGGCGAAGGAUUACACGGUGACGGAGAUCCAGGUCACGAAGGACGCGGAGGCCCGCGCACAUUCCUCGCUUCGUGCCGGCAACAAGAGCAAGGCGGCCCACCUCUUUUGUGUAUCGGGGUGUUUCCACUACAACUACGGCAACAUGGAGUGGGCGGUGAGUUGCUUCAAGAAGGCGCUUAACAUAGCAGAGGAGCUGGAGGAUGCCCGGUGCCUUGCGUUCUGCCACAACAUCUUAGGCGUCUGCUUCUACCGCUUGGGAGAGUACAAGAUGUCACUUGUGCAUCACAAGAAGCAGGAGGCACUUGGCGGCAGCUACGCUCGCGCCGUGGCAGAGAUGAACAUGGGCGUCAGCUACGCCGCCCUCAGCGAGCUCGAGUUUGCCCAGCAGGCGUUCGAGGACGCACUGCUGAAUGCUCGGGAAACGGACGAUUCGAUGCUGCUCACCAUCGCACUUGGCAACGUAGGGCUCGUGUCGCUGCGUAUCGGAGAUAUGCGCGCCGCGCAGCUGCACCUGGAGCAGUGCCUGGAGCAGUGUAGCAUAGCAGGUGACAAGAGCGGUGCCUCCUUGUGUCUCCUCCUCCUCGGCGAGGUGUACUCGCUCAUCCACGACCACCAGCAUGCGCUGUUCUACUACAAGCACGCCUACCGUGUUGGCGGCGAGGCCAACAACCCGGAUGUGGUGAGUAUGGCUCGCGUCAGUAUAGGCAUCGCACAGGGCAACUUAGAAAUCCGUGACUCCGUGCUGAGAGAGGCAGCCUUGAUGGGAAAGACGAACAGCGUGCAGAGCAUUGUGAGUCAGCUACCUCAGUAGAGGCGAGGCGGCGCGGGAAGGAGAGGCAGAUGACGGACACGAGGGGGGCUUAGAAACAACAACAAAAAACGAAAAGUGGUAGGCCUACUCUAGCCCACCUCACCGAUACCCUCCUCGCCAUCAUCCGCGCGGUCUUCUCUGUCCUGUGCAGAGAAGACGGUGCCAAGCGUGGAUGGCUGCCCUCCCCCUCCCCCGCGGUAAGAAAGACAAAAAAGAUGGAGGAUGUGAACGGCUGUUCUCCUUUUGCUCUCUUUCGCCCUUCUUCCCCCCUCUCUCUGUGCCCUUUUGCCGGGUGUGGCUCGGCGCCUCUCCUUUUCAUCCUCGGCUACACGUACGCGUGUGUGCCCAUCUUGCGCAUCAACCCUUUUUUAUCCUUCUUGCUCUGCUUGGCAUGUGCGUUGUGGCGGAUCGCGUCACACUGACAGGACGCUGCUGUUGGCUGCUUUGCGCCAUCUGCGUCGAACGAGUUGAAUCCAUGUAUAUAUUUCCUUGGGAGCUGGCCGCGCAAGAGUCUGUGUGUGCGUGCGAGUACGUCGUACUGUGACGGAAGGCAUCGCCAUGUGUCUGUCCUCUCCUCUUUUCCCGCUACGCGCAUUGGGUGGAGACCUCUGCGCAUCAGCCAUUUCUGUGACGCGUUGGUACGCAAUAUGUUCUACUGAUUACGGUUCCUCCGACCCUUUUAUUUCUGAGUCC
rnacentral:misc_RNA from 1 species